rnacentral:rRNA from 1 species
UGUAGUCAUAUGCUUGUCUCAAAGAUUAAGCCAUGCAUGUCUAAGUAUAAGCAAUCUAUACUGUGAAACUGCGAAUGGCUCAUUAAAUCAGUUAUCGUUUAUUUGAUAGUACCUUACUACUUGGAUAACCGUGGUAAUUCUAGAGCUAAUACAUGCUAAAAACCUCGACUUCGGAAGGGGUGUAUUUAUUAGAUUAAAAACCAAUGCCCUUCGGGGCUCUUUGGUGAUUCAUAAUAACUUUUCGAAUCGCAUGGCCUUGCGCCGGCGAUGGUUCAUUCAAAUUUCUGCCCUAUCAACUUUCGAUGGCAGGGUCUUGGCCUGCCAUGGUUACAACGGGUAACGGGGAAUG